ACGAAACGUCUGAACAGGCUGGGGCUCCAGCAAGGCCUGGAGGGCGGGGCCGAGGGAAGCUUCCGCCGGCCGGGCUCCGCCUCCGGGCGAUCCGCGCAAUCUCCUCUUCCUUGCCCAUCAUCGCCUCGGGGGCAGGGCCCCCAGCGCCCGCCGCGCCAGCCUCAGCCUCCGGGCCUGGACCCCUGCCCCGGUCGUCGCCGUCGCCCGCACCCGUCACAGCCGACGCAGCCCUACCGCGGGCGGGAGACCCUCCGUUCAAACCCCCGGCCCCCGCGGUCGCCGCGCUGCAUCGUGGGACAUGCAGUUCCCACGGCCGCCCACCUCGCGCGCACUGGCCCCGCCCUGGACCACAACUCCCAGAAGACACGCAGAUUUGCAUGGCUUCCUGGGGAGUGUAGUCCUGACGCGGGCCGUCGCCGGAGGCCGACUGGGCCGAAAGACUCGCAGUCCCACAAGCCCCCGCGCGAGCCGGUUAGCCGGCGGAGGGCGCUGCGGUAGCGCGGGGCCAGAACGUACGUGCCGGUCCGGACGCGACCCCAGGUUUGUGCCUUCCCCGACCCUCCGCCCCGGAGCGCCAGGUGGUCCGACUGUGUAGGACCCAUAGAGGCACGUUCGAGUUCGUCUCCUGUCUCCACCCGCUUGGAGCCUUCUUCUUCCACCUUCCGCUGUCCCAGGACAGCCGGACCCGCGGGAGGACUCCCGACCCCACCCCGCGAGCCUGCGCGGACCCCCUGCGCGGACCCCCUGCGCGCUCUGGCCUGAAUCCUGGCCUCUGAGCCCUGACACUUGUCCACGGAGGCCGCCCGGCCAGGCCUCUGAGACAGACGGGGAAGCCGCUUCGAGGAUUUCCUGAAGCAAACUCACCAUUGUGCUGAAGACCUCCAGCCACCACAACUGGGCAUCCCGGGAGGCUGAGCUGAGCCAUGGCUUCUGACAAAGCCUGGGCCACAGGGGAGGGAGGGCAGCAUAGCCCUCAGCCUCUACCCUCUGGAGCAGGCAGAUCUAUGUCCAAGAGAACUCAAAACAGCUUUGGGUCCCUAAGAGUAGAAUCAGAAAGGAGAGGGGCGCCUGGGUGGCUCAGUCGUGAAGCGUCUGCCUUCGGCUCAGGUCAUGAUCCCGGGG